GAUGAACGCUGGCGGCGUGCCUAAUACAUGCAAGUCGAGCGAACAGACGAGAAGCUUGCUUUUCUGAUGUUAGCGGCGGACGGGUGAGUAACACGUGGAUAACCUACCUAUAAGACUGGGAUAACUUCGGGAAACCGGAGCUAAUACCGGAUAAUAUUUUGAACCGCAUGGUUCAUAAGUGAAAGACGGUCUUGCUGUCACUUAUAGAUGGAUCCGCGCUGCAUUAGCUAGUUGGUAAGGUAACGGCUUACCAAGGCAACGAUGCGUAGCCGACCUGAGAGGGUGAUCGGCCACACUGGAACUGAGACACGGUCCAGACUCCUACGGGAGGCAGCAGUAGGGAAUCUUCCGCAAUGGGCGAAAGCCUGACGGAGCAACGCCGCGUGAGUGAUGAAGGUCUUCGGAUCGUAAAACUCUGUUAUUAGGGAAGAACAUAUGUGUAAGUAACUGUGCACAUCUUGACGGUACCUAAUCAGAAAGCCACGGCUAACUACGUG
rnacentral:rRNA from 1 species